rnacentral:rRNA from 1 species
CCUACGGGAGGCAGCAGUGAGGAAUAUUGGUCAAUGGGCGAGAGCCUGAACCAGCCAAGUCGCGUGAAGGAUGAAGGAUCUAUGGUUUGUAAACUUCUUUUAUAUGGGAAUAAAGUGAGGAACGUGUUCCUUUUUGUAUGUACCAUAUGAAUAAGCAUCGGCUAACUCCGUGCCAGCAGCCGCGGUAAUACGGAGGAUGCGAGCGUUAUCCGGAUUUAUUGGGUUUAAAGGGUGCGUAGGUGGUCGAUUAAGUCAGUUGUGAAAGUUUGUGGCUCAACCAUAAAAUUGCAGUUGAAACUGGUUGACUUGAGUACAGUAGAGGUAGGCGGAAUGCGUGGUGUAGCGGUGAAAUGCAUAGAUAUCACGAAGAACUCCGAUUGCGAAGGCAGCUUACUAAACUAUAACUGACACUGAAGCACGAAAGUGUGGGUAUCAAACAGGAUUAGAUACCCUGGUAGUC